AGUGAACGCUGGCGGCGUGCUUAACACAUGCAAGUCGAACGAGAACGGAUUAUAGCUUGCUAUAAUUGUCAGCUAAGUGGCGCACGGGUGAGUAAUAUAUAGUUAACCUGCCCUCAAGAAAGGAAUAACAGUUGGAAACGACUGCUAAUGCCCUAUAUGCCUUUAAUACAUAAGUAUGCAAGGGAAACGCUUUAGUGCUUGAGGAUGGGACUGUAUGGUAUCAGCUUGUUGGUGAGGUAAUGGCUCACCAAGGCUAUGACGCCUAACUGGUUUGAGAGGAUGAUCAGUCACACUGGAACUGAGACACGGUCCAGACUCCUACGGGAGGCAG
rnacentral:rRNA from 1 species